rnacentral:rRNA from 1 species
CCCCUAAAAGCCGUCCCAGUUCAGAUCGCAGUCUGCAACUCGACUGCGUGAAGUCGGAAUCGCUAGUAAUCGCGGAUCAGCAUGCCGCGGUGAAUACGUUCCCGGGCCUUGUACACACCGCCCGUCACACCAUGAGAGUCGGGAACACCCGAAGCCCGUAGCCUAACAGCAAUGAGGGCGCGGUCGGAGGUGGGUUCGAUAAUUGGGGUGAAGUCGUAACAAGGUAUC